UUGAGAGCGGCGUACGGGUGCGGAACACGUGUGUAACUGCUUUAUCUGGGGGAUAGCCUUUCGAAAGGAAGAUUAAUACCCCAUAAUAUGUUGAAUGGCAUCAUUCGACAUUGAAAACUCCGGUGGAUAGAGAUGGGCACGCGCAAGAUUAGAUAGUUGGUGAGGUAACGGCUCACCAAGUCUACGAUCUUUAGGGGGCCUGAGAGGGUGAUCCCCCACACUGGUACUGAGACACGGACCAGACUCCUACGGGAGGCAGCAGUGAGGAAUAUUGGACAAUGGGUGAGAGCCUGAUCCAGCCAUCCCGCGUGAAGGACGACUGCCCUAUGGGUUGUAAACUUCUUUUGUAUAGGGAUAAACCUACCCUCGUGAGGGUAGCUGAAGGUACUAUACGAAUAAGCACCGGCUAACUCCGUGCCAGCAGCCGCGGUAAUACGGAGGAUGCAAGCGUUAUCCGGAUUUAUUGGGUUUAAAGGGUCCGUAGGCGGAUCUGUAAGUCAGUGGUGAAAUCUCACAGGUUUAACUGUGAAGCUGCAUUGGUACUGCAGGUCUUGAGUGUUGUGAAGUAGCUGGAUUAGUAGUGUAACGUGAAUGCUUAAA
rnacentral:rRNA from 1 species